UUCUGCCAAGCUGAGGUCACCUGAGGCUCUCCAUUAGAUGGGAAUGCUUCCCAUGACCCAUCUCCAUUAUUAGCAGGUGGCCCAGCAAACAAAGCCAAAGCCAAUUUAUUCCCCUGGUCAUCUGCAGUGACAGCAUCAUCCCUUAAAUUCACCAAAUCUUCAGCAACCUGUGGUUGCUGAGGCUUAGGCUCCGGCUGAGGAGGGGUAGGAGGAGGAGGAUUGUAAUUCUCUGGCGGUGGUAGUGCCUUAAUUUCAUUCAUAUCAGGUACAGGCUCUUCUUCCUGAGCCACAGAAGGAGCCUCCUCUUUCCUCUCAGGACUCUUGGGCCGUUUUGCCCUAUCCCUCACAAACUCCUCCAAAGUUUCCAACAACUU
rnacentral:misc_RNA from 1 species